GGUCAGGUGGCCGAGUGGUUAAGGCGCUGUGUUUAGGCUCACCGUAAGGUAACCUUGACAAUUUCCGCAGUUCGAAAGAGCGGGGGUUCGAAUCCCCCCCUGAUCA